GGUUGAUCCUGCCAGUAGUCAUAUGCUUGUCUCAAAGAUUAAGCCAUGCAUGUCUAAGUAUAAACAAAUUCAUACUGUGAAACUGCGAAUGGCUCAUUAAAUCAGUUAUAGUUUAUUUGAUGGUACCUUACUACAUGGAUAACUGUGGUAAUUCUAGAGCUAAUACAUGCUGAAAAGCCCCGACUUCUGGAAGGGGUGUAUUUAUUAGAUAAAAAACCAACGCAGGCAACUGCUCCCUUGGUGAUUCAUAAUAACUUCUCGAAUCGUAUGACCUUGUGUCGACGAUGCUUCAU
rnacentral:rRNA from 1 species